CCGGAGUCAGCCCCUUGCUGCCCUCCCGACCUGGCUGUGAGGAGGGAGCGAGCGUCCACCGCCUACGGGAGGGUCUUCUCAGGAUCCAGGCCGAAUCUUACGGAGCUGGGAGUUUAAACUUUCCAUUCCUGGCUGUGGGGCCAGCAGGCAAAGUGAUGGGGAGAUACAAAUCAGUAAGCAGGCGGCCUUGGCGUUCGGACGAAGACACAGAGAGAGGCAGAGACACAGGAAGAGGGAGAAGCAGGUUCCAUGCAGGGAGCCCGAUGUGGGACUCAAUCCCGGGACUCCAGGAUCACGCCCUGAGCCGAGGCCAGAUGCUCAACUGCUGAGCCACCCAGGCGUCCUAGUGUAUCACCAUUUAAGUGAAAAAAGAGUUCCACAAGAGCAAUGCAGAGCAGCCCAGAUGGAUUCUAUGCACAUAGUGGAGUUUGUAUCAUAGCAGAGGAACACUGAAUUGGAGAAGCUGCUGCUUUUAUAGAUAAGCAGUAAGCAAGCUUGCUUUUUCUUAGAGAGAUGUACCUCUCUUCUCACAACCUUGAGAAAUGGACCACUGAUGUAAUACGUAUUUGUAUAUUUAUAAAGAAUGGUUUAAAAACACUGCGAUUUGUGCAAAUGUAUGUACCACACACUACUGCUAUCUCUGUUUAUCAUAUUUAAAAAAUUGGAAAUUAUUUGUUUUAACGUCUUCCAUAUUGAGUUAACUAAAUUUGGUUGUAUUCAUACAUUAAAAUACUGUAUUGACUUUUAAAAGAAUAAGAUUAGGGGAUCCCUGGGUGGCGCAGCGGUUUAGCGCCUGCCUUUGGCCCAGGGCACAAUCCUGGAGACCUGGGAUCGAAUCCCUCAUCGGGCUCCCGGUGCAUGGAGCCUGCUUCUCCCUCUGCCUGUGUCUCUGCCUCUCUGUGUGUGUGUGUGACUAUCAUAAA